GCACAAAACGCUUUUCGAUCGUCACGACCCUGGUGGCGGCCACUGAAGCUCACGGUACAACAAGCUGCCGGCUGCCAUAUUGAAUCGAGAAACGAAGCGCGGGAAGCACGUUUCUUUGACAGUUUGGCCGCUUUCCCACGGCCGCAGGCCGUGACAGGCCGAAUUCUUGUCGCGCACGAGUGGCCAAAGAGCCAAGGAGUAUUCUUAACAGCCACAUCAUCGGCCCAGGGGCCUACUUCAGCCCCGGCGGGCACGCAAUGUGCGAGGUCGUCGGCGCAAGAUUACUGAAAACAAACUUUUGAGACUGCGCCAGUUUCCCGUCGUGCGCUUCCAAUUUAAUUUUUCCAACCUGGGAGAGAAUACGAGAAAAACGCUGGUGCAAAUAAAAAUAUGAAUCGGAGUUUCUUUUUAUUAACUGAGAGUGAAGUUCAUCACCUUGUGUUUGGACACCUCAUUAUUUAUCAUUUUAUCCUUGGUUUUUUUGGAAUUAGAUACUGGAUCUGAGACAUCGCGUUUAAAGGAAGUUGAAAUUUGAAUGUCUCGAUGAAAAUGAAAAAUAUUGUCAACUGUUGAUUUGAUGGUUGCUUUUGUCUUAUCCAACAAUAAAAUUAUUGGUUUAUACAUUUAAAUUCUA